AUUAAAGCAUCAUGUGAGCAGUCGGGAACUAUCACGGCCGAGCGAAGCGUGUGUCACAGUUGCCGCAGACAUGGAGAGCACCGUAGGGUGUCCUCUGAGACCUGGGACAGGAAGAAAGCUCUUGGCGCUGUGUGGUAAGAAGAAAGGGAGAGAAUUUCGGGCUAGUCAAACAUGGAGCAGCUCUGUUUCCCCAGGAAAAGCCAGGCAGAAAAAGCUAAGUGGACCUUAUUCUCCUGGGUGACUUUGGACAGGGGAACAGGAGCCUGAGGGAUUAAGGGCGGGGUGUGCUAAUACCUCUGUAUCCUAGUUGGGGGCCAGGGCAUUUCACAAAAGACGAAAAUAGACAAGAUGAGAAAGACAGAGGGCUGGAUUAUAGAGGAAUGGAAGUGAGCGGCCAGCCGGGCUGCUGAGGUGAGUCAUGGUUUCCCAAAGGGAACAGGCCCCUGGCAGGGCAUGGUGCUGCUCAGCCAGUGGCCAGGGACUGUCCUAAGGUGACCAGGAGCACCGAGACACGGGGAGAAACCUGGCCCAUGUCAGUCCGGAACGGAUUGCUAGGAC
rnacentral:lncRNA from 1 species